CCCAAUUCAGCCUCAGCUUUCCCCACACAAACCCUAAAUUGUCACUAAAUUGGUAAACACUAGACAGAUGUUUUCAACAAACACUGUCUCUUUUUUUGCACACAUUUUAUACACCAUUAUCACGAACUAGCUGUACAAACAGAAAAGUAGGUUGCAUUCCUCUCCGUCCCAACACAACCACGUGUCUGUCCCGCCCCCUCCUAUUCACAUAAAACCCUAAUUUUAUACUUACUACUACAGCUGGAAACUCAGUCAAAACCAACACGGCUUGGUCGACACCCACCCGCCCAGUUCUUGUUGGAGUGGAAACUGCACCACAGUGUGGCCAUGGAGGGGUCCGGACUCAGGGAGAGGGGCAACCUGAUUCCACACUGAUGAAAAAACUUGGCCGUCGGGGAAAACACAACCCCCACCCCUUUGCCAAAGCCACAAGCGAGUCACAGACAUGGAGCAGCAGCAGCAGCAGCAGAUGAUGAUGUUGUGGACGGCCUUCCUGUCUAAGUAAACAGUGAUUCAGACGAGUGAGGAGUGGGAGGCUGUGGUCUGCUUCAGACUGGCAGCACCAGGCCUCACC
rnacentral:lncRNA from 1 species